ensembl:lncRNA PYDC2-AS1 PYDC2 antisense RNA 1
UUUCUUCUCGUCUGUCGCCAUGUGAGAUGUACCUUUCACUUUCCUCCAUGAUUGUGAGGCCUCCUUAGCCACAUGGAACUGCCCUGGCAAUCACUAUUCCAGUCUCUGCUUCUAUGAGUUUGACUAUUUCAGAUUCCACAUGUAGGAAAUGCUGGAGUCCUUCAUCCGAAUGGUAAAUGGCACUUGUGACAAAAAUCAAAGUAACUAAAAAAGAAUCUGGUUGAAACCUCAGUAACAGUUGGCCUGUCUACUGCCUCACACUAACAAGGGGGAGCUAAUAAAACCGAGGUUAGAACACACAAUGUGGAAAUGAAAACCUUAUUCUUGUCAAUGGAUGGAGGGUGGCAAGAAGACCCUCACCAGAUUCCAGCCCCUCGAUCUUUGAUUUUCCAGCCUCCAAAAACAUGAGCCAGUAAAUUUCUGUUUGUUUGUUAUAAAUUACCCAGUCUGUGGUGUUCUGUUAUAGCAGCACAAAAUGGAGACAAAUGGUCAGGUAACACUGAAAGAUGCUCAUGCUUCCUAGGAAAUAGGAUCAUUUAUAUUUUAUAAAAUAAUACAUCAACAAUAUGAUACAAAAAUUAAACACCUGGCAAUAAUAUGUACAGUUAGAAUGAAACCACUAAUGAUUAUUCUUUGAUGGAGCAGAUAAUAGUAAAUACAAUUAGAUCAAUUUGAUAAUAUCCAGUAAAUUUAAAGAUGUGAAAACAAUUUUCAGAGAAACAUGCAUGUGAUUAAAAAGACAUAAACAGAAGAGAACAUUGCUAUAUUAUGAUAGAAGAAAAUCUGAAUGUUCAUUAAGUGAAUAGAUGAAUAAAUUAUAAUAUACCCAUAAUGCGAUAUACUACAGGGUACUUCAAAUGAAUCAACUAUAUUUACACAUAUCAACAAAGAUAAAUAUUAAAGAAUGUAAGAUCAUGGCAAAAAGCAAGUUGCAGAAAACUACGUAUAGGAUGUAGCACUUAUGUAAAGUCUAAAUCAUACAAAAUAAUAAUGUUCCAACUCAAUAAAGGCAAAUAUAGGACGUAAAUAUAUGCAACCAUGAAUGGUAUUGAAAAAUGCAAAAUUAAGCAUAUUUAGUAUCUUUUCUGAUGGGUCAUGGAAUGCAAGAUGAGCAUGAGAGGCUUCAACCCCACCUAUUUAUUAUUUAUCACUUAAAAAUUAUUUUUUGAUAACAAAAUGAUAAAGUGGCUGAAUUUCAAGAGAGACAGUGUCUACAUAGGUGUUUGUUGUAAUAUUCCUUCUACAAUUAAAAUUCACUGGGAUCAAACAUCCCCAGGUCUCUAGCCAGAACCAAUAAUUACUACGUUUUGAGUCAUUUUUUAGUCUUUCUUCUGCAGGUAAUUCUGAUUUUCAUUAAAAAUAAGGAAGGCAUGUUUUGUGCUUAAGCUGAGACAGGUUUAAGUGACAUUAUUUUUCAAUCCAAUUAGGUGCCCUGAUUCCAUUUAUUCAGAAGGAGAUUUAUAUCUAUAUAUGCCACUUGCAAAUAUGACUGCCAUUUUCUAAUUAAGAAGAAAUUUUAUCUUGACUAGAUCUAUUUCACCUAUAGAUGAAUGCUUGAUUUAACAUUUACAUAAUUAAUUGGGUGUGUCUGCUUGCUACUACAUUCUCAUGAAACUUUGCAGCUUCUCAACUACAUCCAAACCUAUUACCUUUUAAGAACCUAAGUAUUUUCCCAGUAUAAACAGUUUUCCAUCGUAUGAGCUUUAAAUAAUAUUUUAACAUAAAAUAUACAGUUUACACAGGGAUAUCUAAAGUGAUGUCUAUACAAAUCCUAAUGUGAAUGUUUUUGUAAAGUGAAAUAUCUUCUUGUCGUGGGAAUUAAUCUUUGUAAAUAUAAAUUAUCUCUUUAUUAUCUUUCUAAAACUUUUCAAUUCCUUAAAUUCAGGUGAAUGUUAACUCAUUUUGUCAGCAGAAUAUUUUUCAAAGUUAUUUAUUAUCUAUAAAAUAUAUUUGCUUAAGGUUUAGCAUUUUGGGGAAAUUAUAUAACAGCUAUCAAAUGAGGGUCUUCUGUAAGUGCUUAUAAAAUCAAUAAUCUAAUGAUAUAAAUAGAUCUAUAAAGAGAUGAUAAAAUUAAAGAACAAUUACUAACAUUCUAACUAGUCUAACAUUUUAUGCCAAUCAAGAACAUAUACCUGUUUAAGAUAUUCAGAGUAUACUUUAUGCUUUAUUAUUAAACAGUAUAAAUAAUAUUUCAGAAUUUUUUAGAAUACCAAGUAUAUUGUACAUGAACAUGGCAUCAAAUUUAGUGUCAUGGGAAAGAAUCUUUAGCUAUAAUUAUGUAGUACUGGUGCAAUACGUAAUUUGUUUUAGCGUGACAGACCCCCAGGUCUUCAGUAAGCUCCAAACUGCCAGGGAAAACAGAUGAGUAAGAAACUGGACAGAGAAGCGCAAUUUUUAAAAUGAAGAACUUGAUCUAAAUAUUUUAGAGUGUUUCCCAUUUAAAAAAAAACAGAAAUUGAUUAUAUAUAUAUAUAUAUAUAUAUAUAUAUAUAUAUAUAUAAUUGUGUCAGUUCUCCAGAUUGUUUCACAUGGAAUUUACAUCUUUGCAACCCUGAAACCCUGUUUCAGUCCUGUCUUUUUCACUGAGUGUUCCAAAAUCUCUUUCCCAUAGUUGCUGCAUAAUUUCUUAAAUUGCUUAGAAGCUUUCAAGGGGAAAGGAGCUAAGUGAGUAGAUUAACGAGGGGCUGUUUGUGAAAUUCUUAAGAGUUCGUCAAUGGCAGGUGUGAUAAAUUACAACAUUGUUAUGAUGAUGAUCGUGUAGCAAACCAUUAUUAGUGCUUAAGGUGGACUAUCUCAUUACACAAACACCACUUGAAUUUGAACAUACGUCAGCAGAAAAUGUAAACGGUUCACACAAUUCCAACCAAACAGGCAUUUCUCUAGUUGAAAUUAGGCUUGGAAGUAUUGGCCAUGUUUACUAUCAAAUGGUUCAGUUACAUUUUACUAAUGUACAGGAAAACCUAAACUCAUGUACAUCGAAAAUUAACUCUUAAACAUUUCUUUGCGUAAUUAUCUAUUUUUCUUGAAAUUUUUGUAUGUGACACGUUCCUUAAAUAAAACCUCUGCUAAAAUAACAUAAUUCAAUGAGUUUAAGAGCAGAUAAAUGACACAGUAAGAUAUUCAGAAGUUUUAUAAAAAAUAAAUCAUGUGAAUAAACAAUUGUGUUUGGUAUAAAUGGAAUAUUGUCAGUGUCCUUUUAUGAAUUAAAAUGGCUUUAUUCCAGCCUGGGCAACAUGGCAAAACUCUGUCCCUACAAAUAAUAUAAAAAUUAGCUGGGCGUGGUGGCACACAUUUGUAGUCCCAGCUGAGGUGGGAGAAUCACCUGAGCCUGGGAAAUCAAGGCUGCAGUGAGCCGUGAUUGUGCCACUGCACUCCAGGCUGGGCGACAGAGUAAGACCCUGUCUCAAAAAAUUAAAUUAAAUGGCUUAAUAGCCUGGUUCUAAAAACCAAUGUGUACCAAAUAGAGAAAUUCCAGUUUUUAGCUUCAUUCAUUUAAUCAUUGUUAAAAAUAUCACCGAUUAUUCUUCACGAUUUAAAAAAUAAAUUCUACACAACGUAGACUAAUUGAAUGUAAAUUCAGUGACAUAAACUCCGUGCUCAUUUAUACCCAAAUCUGUUAUUCUUCUACUCUGUAUCCCAGCUAUGAACACUUUCUAUCAUCUCCAAUGCUCCGGCCCAAGAUUUCAAUUGUUUCUUAUCUGGAAUUGUUAAAGUUGUUUAACUGAUGUCCUUGCUUCAAUCCCUGAACUCCUACUUUCAUCAUCUAGAGACAUCAGUGUAAACUUUUUAAAAUGUAAAUUGGAUC